GGACCGGAUGGCCGCUCUCGUUCGUAAAGAACGAGGGAGGAAAGUCCGAACUCCGCAGAGCAGUGUGCCGGAUAACGUCCGGGAGGAUGGUUCAAGCCCAUUCGACGGAAAGUGCCACAGAAAAUAUACCGCCUGGAAACGGGUAAGGGUGAAAAGGUGCGGUAAGAGCGCACCGCUGGCGCAGCAAUGGGUCAGGCAGGGUAAACCCCACACGGAGCAAGACCAAAUAGGGAGGGAACUCGGAUCGGGGCGCAAGCUCCACCGGGCACGUGCUGGCUCGGCGCGUCACAACCUCCGGGUAGGUCGCUUGAGCCGUACAGCAAUGUGCGGCCUAGAGGAAUGGCCGUCCUGCUGGAGCAAUUCGGCAGACAGAAUUCGGCUUACAGGUCCGGCUGCCAU
rnacentral:RNase_P_RNA from 1 species